rnacentral:rRNA from 1 species
GAUGAACGCUGGCGGCGUGCCUAAUACAUGCAAGUCGAGCGAACGGACGAGAAGCUUGCUUCUCUGAUGUUAGCGGCGGACGGGUGAGUAACACGUGGAUAACCUACCUAUAAGACUGGGAUAACUUCGGGAAACCGGAGCUAAUACCGGAUAAUAUUUUGAACCGCAUGGUUCAAAAGUGAAAGACGGUCUUGCUGUCACUUAUAGAUGGAUCCGCGCUGCAUUAGCUAGUUGGUAAGGUAACGGCUUACCAAGGCAACGAUGCGUAGCCGACCUGAGAGGGUGAUAGGCCACACUGGAACUGAGCCACGGUCCAGACUCCUACGGGUGGCAGCAGUAGGGAAUCUUCCGCAAUGGGCGAAAGCCUGACGGAGCAACGCCGCGUGAGUGAUGAAGGUCUUCGGAUCGUAAAACUCUGUUAUUAGGGAAGAACAUAUGUGUAAGUAACUGUGCACAUCUUGACGGUACCUAAUCAGAAAGCCACGGCUAACUACGUG